GGGAAUGUGGCUUAAUGGUAGAGAGCAUGCCUAGCAUGCAUGAAGCCCUAGGUUCAUUUCCUCAGUGCCA
rfam:Dipodomys ordii contig_17149, whole genome shotgun sequence.